GUGAACCUGGGACUGGGAGGGACAGCCUGCUGAGGACUGAGAGCGUGGGACACUUAUGACUGUCACACUCCUUCUCUGCAAAUCUUCCUCUAAAAGGCUUCCCAGGGCUUGGCUCUGCUUGGUUCUCUGAGCUCCUCCUGCAGGCAGCUGCCUUUCAGUUCACUAUUGUAUCCCAGUGAAUCCAAAAUUAGCUUGAUUCACAACAGAAAAUGAGCACAAAACCCCUCUAUAGCCAGAGAGUGAUUGUCUACAAAGUCCUAUGUGGUAGAAAUAAGGCUUUGCCCCAAGGAGCCAUCUGGCUGUGUGCCCUCUCCCACACGCACACUUCCAUUUGGCACACUUAUUGUUAUCCUGUGCUGUGAGGGAACAGAGGUACUGGCCACGGAUCCAUUGCAGAGGAGCCAGCUUAUACUCCCACGGUGCUAGGAAGGAGGCGGGACAGGCCUCCAUCCCUGGGAUUUGCUGGUAGAAGAAAGGGAAUCAGCGCUGACUGAGCUCCUACUAUGUGCCCUUCCUGGGCCUGGCACUGGAAUCACAGGAUGAAUGAAUAAGGCAUAUUUCCUGCCCUGAGGAGGCGUCUAUAGGGGAAGUCGGAAUUAAGGCACCUCCAGAAUUCUGAGGUCAAGGGAAUGUCAACAGAGCUGUGAACAAAAUGCCCAAAGCCAUGAAAAUCUACAGAGAGAGACUCGAAGGGGAGGAAUGGGGUAGGAGCUGGUGCCGAGGAUGAGAGGGGAGAAUUCACCUGGUGGAGAACUGAUAGGCCAGGCUGAGGUCGGGAUGGUGGAGGAGGUGGUGGAGGUGAUGAGGUACCAGAGCAACCUCGAAGAAAGCUGAGAGGCAGGAGACCGCCAAAGGCAAACUUGGAACACCUGGUGACUCCGACUAACUCUCCAUGUGGUGUCCUUGAGGACUUUUAUGAUACUGCUACCACUGCUAAUAGUAAUAAAAGCCACUAUUUAAUGUGUUUACUAUGCGCUGGGUGUGCAAAUAUUGUGGAAAGAGUGAACAUAUGUGCAGAAUGCUUAAUAAACGUGAUCUCCUUUUAUCUUCAAAAGAACAAUACAGGCCAGGUGCGGUGGCUCAUGCCUAUAAUUCCAGCACUUUGGGAGGCCGAGGCAGAUGGAUUGCUUGAGCUCAAGAAGUUUCAGACCAGCCUGGGCAACAUGGCAAAACCCCAUCUCUACAAAAAAAUACCCAAAAAAUUAGCCAGGUGUGAUGUUGCCUGCCUGUGGUCCCAGCUACUCCAGAGGUUGAGGUGGGAGAAUCGCGUGAGCCCAGAAGGUCAAGGCUGCAGUGAGCUGUGAUCCUGCCACUGCACUCCAGCCUGGGGUGACAGAGUGAGACCCUGCCUAAAAAAAAAAGAAUCAAUACGAUUAAUACUUUUACUUCUAUUUUUCAGACAAGGAAAUUGAGGCUCAGAGAGGUUAGGAACUUGCCAGAAGACCUACCAGCAAGUGGCAGAGCUAAGGUCCCAUCUGACCCCAAAGCCCACCCAUAACCGCUAUGCAGUACUGUCCAGGCAGAAACACAAACAUUACCCCAUUGUUUUUAUUCUUCAACACCUUUGGUAUCAUCCAGUCCCAGGACACUGGCUCCUGAGGAAGGAAGGCCCCUCCCACAUCCUUUAAAAUUCCCAGGCAUAAAACCAUGUUCACCAGCCACCGUGAGGGUAAGCCUCAGAGACAGGGACCGUGCCCAC
rnacentral:lncRNA from 10 species